rnacentral:rRNA from 1 species
UCCUACGGGGCGCAGCAGUGAGGAAUAUUGGUCAAUGGGCGGAAGCCUGAACCAGCCAAGUCGCGUGAGGGAAUAAGGCCCUACGGGUCGUAAACCUCUUUUGCCGGGGAGCAAGGGCCGGGACGCGUCCCGGCCCGGAGAGUACCCGGAGAAAAAGCAUCGGCUAACUCCGUGCCAGCAGCCGCGGUAAUACGGAGGAUACGAGCGUUAUCCGGAUUUAUUGGGUUUAAAGGGUGCCCAGGCGGUCUGUUAAGUCAGCGGUCAAAGCCCGGGGCUCAACCCCGGCCCGCCGUUGAAACU